UUGGCAAGGGCGGUGGUGAGAAGUGGAAGUAUCUUGAGUGAUGUUGAGAAGGCUCCCUAAUUGCCAAGGCCAAGUACACCAAGAAGAUCGACACCUACAACAACCCACUGGCAGGAGAGGCGUCCGACGACUCUAACAAGUCCCAGUCCAAGGUGAGCGACGCAAAGCAGCAGGAGGGGGGGUCUCUGAAAUGUCGCCGCUUUCGCUCAUUGCUAGUGUCAUCGAUUGAUGAUGGAUGGUUGCCGUUAGUUUAGCUCCUUAGUAGUAUCUCCUAGUCUUUCAGGCGGCUACUGCUGGUAGCUAUAGUCUGUUCACCGAUUGAUGAUGGAUUGUUGAAUGUACUUACUGUUGUGCCCGUGGCUGUUUAAGGAAUACUUUUGCGUUGAAAGAAA